GGCCGCUGAGAAGAGACAGAAAGAGGUAUGACUGUUUUGGACAAGUUGUUAUGACAACCAUAUACGGUAGGCUUACACUGGUACAGCAAAGGGCUGGUUUCCCGGACACAGAUUAAGCCUAGUCCAGGAUUGAAAAGCAUUUUCCAUGGAGAUUCACUGUUAAAUUAUUCUUUUUUUCAGUCCAGGACUAGGAUUAAUGUGUCCAGGAAACCAGCCCUAUAUAGCCCACACAUGGUGGUCCUGUGUGGCUCAGUUGGAUUAGGGUGUGGUGAGGUUGUGGGGUCAGUUCCCACAGGGAUCCUGUACACCACUGUACCAUGAGUCAUUUAGCUGGGAUGAGGGUCUUCUAAGUGGCGUACUGUAGACAACCACUGAACAGUCAGUAGAGCUGGGCGAUACGGACACAAAUCCAUAUUGUGAUAAAUUGCCUGAAUUUAUGAGAUAAAGUUUAUAACAUUUAAUGUGCACCAUCUGUACAAAAAAAAUUAAAUCCUUUAAACUACUACUACUAGUUGUAUUGUUGUAGCCAUCUAUUGUUCCAUGAACAAUCAGUCAUAUUAGAAAACAUUUCAUUUCAAAACACAUUUCUCUAGUAUAGGCUACUUAUCGUAAUGAACGAUAUCUGCCAAAAUGCCUGUGAUAAGUGAUCGGUAUGGUUUAUUUGUCCCAACUCUACCAGUUCAUCUCAGCAGCCAGCCACUCUCCCAGUCUUGUUAUUCGUAUAGAAGAGCUUCCUGAGACAGAGUGGAGUCUGCUGGGAGAAGAGAGAAGGCAUCUCAUUACCUAUCCCUUUUACCACUAUCGUGUUAACUGACCGAAAACCCCUACUGCGCUGGCUCCAAUCCCUUCCCAGUACGGUUCCAGCAGCUACAGAUGUAGGAUCUUAAUGUGAUCACCCUGCUGCAGGAGAACUUGCAGUAUAUUUGAGAUUUAAAAAGUCUUCUGAACUUUGUAAUUUCCACUGUGAUAUCUCACUCGAUUUUUCCCUUACGAAAAAUGUAUCAACUCCUACAAAAAAAAAAAAAUCAAUUUAAUUAUAAUACACAUAAUAAUUCACUUAUCCUGUUGCUGCGUGAUAAUGUUCAGGCUGUAGCAAACUGGCUCAAAUGAAGAUCCUACAUCUGUACGGUAGAUGUGCCGUGUAACCAGGUCAGCACACUGCAGCUCGGCUUGAUUUCGGCUCCGUAGUGUGAAAAGGUUAGCCGAAUAUAACGAGCCUUGAACCAAGAAAUCCAAUCUAGAAAUUCAAUCUAUGGUGUUUUGUACCCUUUGUUGCAAGGCUACUAAAGUCUCUUCAAUCAUAAUGUUUAGUAGCUCCUCAUAAGACUGGUGGGUAUUUUUUUUUUACUGUUAUGCAGAAAUUCUUCAGUCAAAGCCAAUUGUAUCCAACCCAUAAAACAUGUGGUCCUACUAAAGCAUCGAGACAACCUACAGGGGUGUCAAAAACCCCCAAGCAGUUGAGAGAAAUAAAAAGAAUAAGGAGAUGGAGAAACAAGAGAUGAGACCGUCUCCGCCUGGAGGAGAAGGAGGAGGAGGAGAGAUGAAGUGGCAGGUAGGCUAAAGAUAGACAUGGAGAGAUCCUGGAAGUCUCAAUGUAGACUGAGGUUCAGCUAACAACAUGAAGAUGGUACCAGUUGACUUAAAGGCUUUUUUUUUUUUGAAUAUCAGCCCUUAUACUAGAUUUUUAAUUUUUAAAUGCAAGCUUUUUUUUGAGCCGAUUGUGUGUCUGCAUCUCUCAACUUCGUAGGAUAGUUUGCCGGGCUUCGACGCUGGUAAAAAAAAUAAAAUAAAAGAUUCUGCUGCCCAAUGUUGGCCGUGUGAAUCACAGGACAUGCCUCCCUUAAUGCCAAGAUAUACAAGAGAAUAUGCAAGCCAGCCAAUGGAGCUUUGGGACAGGGUGGCGUAGCUAUGAAUAGAAUAUAAACACUCAGAGGAAAUAUGCUCUCACACUACAUCGAUAAACUGUACCAGGCGUCUUGCAGUGAACUCUCUCUCUUUGUGUUCUCUUUGUCCUCUCGCCUUUCUUUCUCUCAGCCAUUUCCACUUUGCCAGCUUUAACACCAUGGCGCUUACUUCUUUUGCAAUUGUUUCAGACAUUUUGAACUUUGAGGAAUAUUCUUGUGAUCUAUUUACUGUAUAGUAUAUUUUCCUUCUAAAAUUAUUUUAUGCAACAAAGUCCUUUUUACUGUUCAAAAUAGGCCUAGAUGAUUAAAAUGUCAUUUUCUAUUGUAGAUCAGUGUGAAAAGAACUACGUUUCCCAUAGCUACUGAUGAACGUUUUAGAGUUCCCGCACCAGCACUAUUCAGUUGACUUCACUUUAGUGUUUGAUUUUCAUAUGUCUGUGCAAUGUAAGUUAUUUGCUACACGUUCUAUCGGUUUGUAAUGUAUGAAGAAAAUGCUAUAUUUUAAAUGAGGUAAGAAGUUUGAGUCGUGAAAGCCUGAUGAAAGUGUUUUUUUAUGCAUGAAUAUUUCUUCUUUUCUUUCUCAUUUCAACCUGUUCAGUAAUAUUGUUGUCAUGACAAUGUUCCAGGAAUUAUUUUAUCCAAACAUACACCGGUGUCACAAUGUUCUUUCUUGGGUAUGCAGUCUGUUGUCAGGAUGGUAAUAGGACUACCGUUAUUCACCAGGUUUCGGUCCAUUUCAGUUCAGGAAGUACACUGAAAUUACAAUUAUCUGCAAUGCUUUUCAAUGAGGAACAUUUUUUUGGGGGAUUUACUUUCUGAAUUGAAAUAGAAUUGACCCCAACCCUGUCAUCCACUGGGGCGUACCUGUCCACGAUGAUACCUGCAGAUCUGUCAUCCACUGGGGCGUACCUGUCCACGAUGAUAACUCUGCAGAUCUGUCAUCCACUGGGGCGUACCUGUCCACGAUGAUAACUCUGCAGAUCUGUCAUCCACUGGGGCGUACCUGUCCACGAUGAUAACUCUGCAGAUCUGUCAUCCACUGGGGCGUACCUGUCCACGAUGAUAACUCUGCAGAUCUGUCAUCCACUGGGGCGUACCUGUCCACGAUGAUAACUCUGCAGAUCUGUCAUCCACUGGGGCGUACCUGUCCACGAUGAUAACUCUGCAGAUCUCAGAAGGAAAUGGGAAGAGAGCCUGAACCAGCAGGUGUUAUUGUGCACUUGGAAGUAUUGCAUUUAUACCUGCCUUGCUUUUUAUACUUGAGGUUUCUUCUUCCUAUACCCACCUAGUGCUUCAAAGGCUCUUGCCAUUUUGAGGUGCAUGAAGUCACGCCAAUGUCAUUUUGUUGAAAUAAAGUUGUCAGAUGACUGUU